ACCUGGCGGCAGCUACACAUGCAGUCGAGCGGUAGAGAGAAGCUUGCUUCUCCUGAGAGCGGCGGACGGGUGAGUAAUGCCUAGGAAUCUGCCUGGUAGUGGGGGAUAACGUUCGGAAACGGACGCUAAUACCGCAUACGUCCUACGGGAGAAAGCAGGGGACCUUCGGGCCUUGCGCUAUCAGAUGAGCCUAGGUCGGAUUAGCUAGUUGGUGAGGUAAUGGCUCACCAAGGCGACGAUCCGUAACUGGUCUGAGAGGAUGAUCAGUCACACUGGAACUGAGACACGGUCCAGACUCCUACGGGAGGCAGCAGUGGGGAAUAUUGGACAAUGGGCGAAAGCCUGAUCCAGCCAUGCCGCGUGUGUGAAGAAGGUCUUCGGAUUGUAAAGCACUUUAAGUUGGGAGGAAGGGCAGUUACCUAAUACGUGAUUGUUUUGACGUUACCGACAGAAUAAGCACCGGCUAACUCUGUGCCAGCAGCCGCGGUAAUACAGAGGGUGCAAGCGUUAAUCGGAAUUACUGGGCGUAAAGCGCGCGUAGGUGGUUAGUUAAGUUGGAUGUGAAAUCCCCGGGCUCAACCUGCGAACUGCAUUCAAAACUGACUGACUAGAGUAUGGUAGAGGGUGGUGGAAUUUCCUGUGUAGCGGUGAAAUGCGUAGAUAUAGGAAGGAACACCAGUGGCGAAGGCGACCACCUGGACUGAUACUGACACUGAGGUGCGAAAGCGUGGGGAGCAAACAGGAUUAGAUACCCUGGUAGUCCACGCCGUAAACGAUGUCAACUAGCCGUUGGGAGCCUUGAGCUCUUAGUGGCGCAGCUAACGCAUUAAGUUGACCGCCUGGGGAGUACGGCCGCAAGGUUAAAACUCAAAUGAAUUGACGGGGGCCCGCACAAGCGGUGGAGCAUGUGGUUUAAUUCGAAAGCAACGCGAAAAACCUUUACCAGGCCCUUGACAUCCAAUGAAACUUUCUAAAAAAUAGAUUGGUGCCCUUCGGGAACAUUG
rnacentral:rRNA from 1 species